GGGCCAUAGCUCAGUGGUAGAGCGUCUGCUUUUCAUGCAGAAGUUCUCAGUUUCAACCUCUGGCACCUCCA